GAUGAACGCUGGCGGCGUGCCUAAUACAUGCAAGUCGAGCGAACGGACGAGAAGCUUGCUUCUCUGAUGUUAGCGGCGGACGGGUGAGUAACACGUGGAUAACCUACCUAUAAGACUGGGAUAACUUCGGGAAACCGGAGCUAAUACCGGAUGAUAUUUUGAACCGCAUGGUUCAAAAGUGAAAGACGGUCUUGCUGUCACUUAUAGAUGGAUCCGCGCUGCAUUAGCUAGUUGGUAAGGUAACGGCCUACCAAGGCAACGAUGCAUAGCCGACCUGAGAGGGUGAUGGGCCACACUGGGACUGAGACGCGGUACAGACUCCUACGGGAGGCAGCAGUAGGGAAUCUUCCGCGAUGGGCGAAAGCCUGACGGAGCAACGCCGCGUGAGUGAUGAAGGUCUUCGGAUCGUAAAACGCUGUUAUUAGGGAAGAACAUAUGUGGAAGUAACUGUGCACAUCUUGACGGUACCUAAUCAGAAAGCCACGGCUAACUACGUG
rnacentral:rRNA from 1 species